GACAGAGGUGCCGAGCGUUAGGCGGAAUCACUGGGCUUAAAGCGUGUGUAGGCGGGCGAUCAAGUACCUUGUGAAAUCCCACGGCUCAACCGUGGAACCGCUGGGUAUACUGGUUGUCUUGAGCCGGCUAGGGGCGAGCGGAACAGACGGUGGAGCGGUGAAAUGCGUAGAUAUUGUCUGGAACGCCGAAGGUGAAAACAGCUCGCUGGGGCCGCGCUGACGCUGAGACACGAAAGCCAGGGGAGAGAACGGG
rnacentral:rRNA from 1 species